GACGAACGCUGGCGGCGUGCCUAAUACAUGCAAGUAGAACGCUGAAGGAGGAGCUUGCUUCUCUGGAUGAGUUGCGAACGGGUGAGUAACGCGUAGGUAACCUGCCUGGUAGCGGGGGAUAACUAUUGGAAACGAUAGCUAAUACCGCAUAAGAGUAGAUGUCGCAUGACAUUUGCUUAAAAGGUGCAAUUGCAUCACUACCAGAUGGACCUGCGUUGUAUUAGCUAGUUGGUGAGGUAACGGCUCACCAAGGCAACGAUACAUAGCCGACCUGAGAGGGUGAUCGGCCACACUGGGACUGAGACACGGCCCAGACUCCUACGGGAGGCAGCAGUAGGGAAUCUUCGGCAAUGGACGGAAGGCUGACCGAGCAACGCCGCGUGAGUGAAGAAGGUUUUCGGAUCGUAAAGCUCUGUUGUAAGAGAAGAACGAGUGUGAGAGUGGAAAGUUCACACUGUGACGGUAUCUUACCAGAAAGGGACGGCUAACUACGUG
rnacentral:rRNA from 1 species